UUCGCAAUGCCCGAAAGGGUGACGAAGCGACGCCGCGUGUGGGAAGAAGGCCUUCGGGUUGUAAACCACUGUCGGGAGUUAAGAAAUGCAAGGGUGCUAAUAGUAUCCUUGCUUGACUAAGGCUCCGGAGGAAGCCACGGCUAACUCUGUGCCAGCAGCCGCGGUAAUACAGAGGCGGCAAGCGUUGUUCGGAAUUAUUGGGCGUAAAGAGCACGUAGGCGGCUAUGUAAGUCGGUUGUGAAAGCCUUCCGCUCAACGGGAGAACAGCAUCCGAUACUGCAUGGCUUGAGUGUGGGAGGGGAGAGUGGAACUUCUGGUGGAGCGGUGAAAUGCGUAGAUAUCAGAAGGAACGCCGGCGGCGAAAGCGGCUCUCUGGCCCAUAACUGACGCUGAGUGUGCGAAAGCUAGGGGAGCAAACGGGAUUAGAUACCCCGGUAGUCCUAGCCGUAAACGAUGGGCACUAAGUAGAGGGGUUUU
rnacentral:rRNA from 1 species